rnacentral:rRNA from 1 species
CCUACGGGAGGCAGCAGUGGGGGAUAUUGCACAAUGGGGGAAACCCUGAUGCAGCGACGCCGCGUGUGGGAAGACGGUCCUCUGGAUUGUAAACCACUGUCCCCAGGGACGAAGAUGACGGUACCUGGGGAGGAAGCUCCGGCUAACUACGUGCCAGCAGCCGCGGUAAUACGUAGGGAGCGAGCGUUGUCCGGAAUUACUGGGUGUAAGGGGAGCGUAGGCGGGACUGCAAGUUGGGUGUCAAAUCUACCGGCUCAACCGGUAGCCGCACUCAAAACUGCAGUUCUUGAGUGAAGUAGAGGCAGGCGGAAUGCCUAGUGUAGCGGUGAAAUGCGUAGAUAUUAGGAGGAACACCAGUGGCGAAGGCGGCCUGCUGGGCUUUUACUGACGCUGAGGCUCGAAAGUGUGGGGAGCAAACAGGAUUAGAUACCCGUGUAGUC